CCUACGGGAGGCAGCAGUGAGGAAUAUUGGUCAAUGGGCGCAAGCCUGAACCAGCCAUGCCGCGUGCAGGAAGAAUGCCUUAUGGGUUGUAAACUGCUUUUAUUUGGGAAUAAACCCCUGGUCGUGCAUCAGGGCUGAAGGUACUAAAUGAAUAAGCACCGGCUAACUCCGUGCCAGCAGCCGCGGUAAUACGGAGGGUGCAAGCGUUAUCCGGAAUCAUUGGGUUUAAAGGGUCCGCAGGCGGGCAUAUAAGUCAGUGGUGAAAGCCUACAGCUUAACUGUAGAACUGCCAUUGAUACUGUGUGUCUUGAAUUCGGUCGGAGUGGGCGGAAUGUGUAGUGUAGCGGUGAAAUGCAUAGAUAUUACACAGAACACCGAUAGCGAAGGCAGCUCACUAGGCCUGAAUUGACGCUCAUGGACGAAAGCGUGGGGAGCAAACAGGAUUAGAUACCCCUGUAGUC
rnacentral:rRNA from 1 species